rnacentral:rRNA from 1 species
UCGAGAAUAUUUAGCAAUGGACGAAAGUCUGACUAUGCGACGCCGCGUGCAGGAUGAAGGUCUUCGGAUUGUAAACUGCUUUUAUUAGGGGAGAAACCUCCAACGUUAACACCGUUGGAGCUGACGGUACCUGAUGAAUAAGCCACGGCCAACUCUGUGCCAGCAGCCGCGGUAAUACAGAGGUGGCAAGCGUUACUCGGAAUUAUUGGGUGUAAAGGGCAGGUAGGUGGCUUGGUAAGUGAGGGGUGAAAUCCUGCGGUUCAAUCGCAGAACUGCCUUUCAAACUGCCUAGCUUGAGAACGACAGGGGAAGAUGGAAUUCCCGGUGUAAGGGUGAAAUCUGUAGAUAUCGGGAAGAACACCAACAGCGAAGGCAAUCUUCUGGGUCGUUUCUGACACUGAGCUGCGAAAGCUAGGGGAGCAAACAGA